UUUCUUAGCUAUGGCUGCUCAUCACAUACCCGGUGGGUGAGAUGUUUAGGUUUUGAGGGCUCUAAUCCAGCCAAUAAGGUCAUGAAAUCGACCACUGUGUCAAUGUUGUGCUUCUGGGUGGUUGUGUCUUUUAACACACACAAGACACUCAACCAGCUAAAAGAGAUGAGCUCGGAGAUGUUGGCUCGGAGGAAGAGAAGGAUCACGUUGAGGUCAUUGAUGGGACAUCCCAGCAUUUUUCUGCUGAGGAGAUCAAAAGCUGGGAGCAUCUCAUAGAUGGACAGGAGUCGUUUGUCCCACUUACAUAGCCGGGUGAGGUUGUAUAGUAUCACUGGAACCAGUAGGGUAUAUAUUGCUACACUGGAGAGGCUAACAAUCUGGAAAACAGACAGGAAGGUCAGCCUGCACGUGAUCAGAUCGGGGACGUGGAUCUCAUCGCUUAAAAACCCUCUCUUGAUGGAACAGCUGAAUUCUUCUUGGAAGAAGACAUCCAGGUGGAAGUGGCCAAGGUACAGGAAGGUGGCUGAGAUGAAGAGGAGCAGGAUGGUGUUCCUCAGGAGGUAACGCAGCCAGCCCAAAGUCAGGAAACCCAGUCCCUAUGGGAGGGCACUUCAGAGCCCACACACAGAGUGGACUAAUUGGGAUUCUUCUUUUGUACGGGAUCUUGGAAGCAACUUACCGGAGGAGAAUUCCUGGGCAAAUGCCAGGGACAUCAGCAACAAGGGGAAGCCCACAGCUACGAACUUGACCAUCCGGUCCAGGGGCAGUUCCAGGCGCAGUCCUUUGAGGCGGAGGCCCCUGUAGUCGGGCAGCAGGGCAUCAGAGAGCAUGUACUCUGCAGCUGUGUGUGCGAGUGACAUGAUGCUGACCCACCAACUCUUUGAAAAGCUGCGGGGGAUGCAUGGUAGUAUUGAGUAGCGGAAAGAACGUGAACUUUGACAUCUGGAGGGAAAGUCCUACACUGGAGACCUGGCAGUGCUCACGUUUUAUUGUGUGACUUCAGGCAAGUUCAGCUUCCUCAUCUAUAAACUAUAGUACAGUGUUAGAAGGUUGUGAGGAUUAAGAUUAUAUGCAAAGGUGCUUUGUAAAUUGUAGAUUGUGGGACAAAUGUUAUCUCUUACUUCAGUUUGUUAGGGUUGGGUGGGUAGAGAAGCAAACAGUGGGGCAUAGGGCAUCCUUGUCUCUAGUACCAGCAUUAGUCUUACCUCUAUUUGGGGCUUUACUCUGGCGCCCUUUGGCCAUGUCUUCCCCAUGAGGGAAGGAGUCCAAGGAUGUCAGUUUUGACGAUAGACAAAUGGAUGUCUGUUUAGAGCAUAAGCACCUCAUCUGGACCAUCCUCUAGUACCUGGGACUCUGUAAUUUCAUUCCCAAAUGGCCUCAGCCUACUUUCAUGGCCAGUGUGAACCUUUCCCCUAGGUUCAUCCUCCCAAGGAUAGAUGGUGCUGAUGGUGUCACCCCUAGGCCUAAGGAUGGGUGACUGUGGGGACCAUAGGGUGACAUGGCAGCUGGUUUCCCCCAGAGCAGGUGAUCCGAGAGAGAGCAAGAGGGAAGCCACAAUGCCUUUUAUGACCUAGUCUCUGAAGCUGCACAUAGUGCAAAUGGUUUGCUCUAAGUUGGUAACUGAAAAGUUGGCAGUUCUAACUCACCCAGUGACAUUGCGGAAGAAAAGGACUGGUGAUCUGCUUACAUAAUGAUUACAGCCAAAAAUACCCUAUGGAGCAGUUCUGCUCAGUAACACACAGGGUUGCCAUGAGUUGGAAUCUACUUGACAGCACUAAACAACAACUGCUUUUCCCCCAUUAGUUAGAAUCGGGUCAGGAGCCCUGGUGGUACAACAGUUAAGCACUUGGCUGCUAGCUGAACGGUUGGCGGUUUUAACCCAUCCAGUGGCUCUGCAGGAGAAAAACAUGGUGAUUUGCUCCCAUAAAGACUGCUGUUGUUAGGUGCUGUCAAUUCCAACUCAUAGCGACCCUGUGUGCAACAGAAUGAAACACUGCCCAGUCCUGCACCAUUCUCAGAAUUGUUGCUAUGUGUGAACGCAUUGUUGCAGCCACUGUGUCAACUCAGUCUUUUUCACUGACCCUCUAACAUGCAUGAUGUGGCCCUUUUCCAGGGACUGGUCCCUCCUGAUAACAUGUCCAAAGUAUGUAAGAUGAAGUCUCGCCAUCCUCCAUUUUAAGGGACAUUCUUGUUGCACUUCCUCCAAGACAUUCGUUCAUUCUUCUGGCGGUCGGUGGUAUAUUCAGUAUUCGCCGACACUGUAAUUCAAAGGCAUCAAUUCUUCUUCAGCCUUCCUUAUUCAUUGUCCAGCUUUCACACGCAUAUGAGGUGAUUGAAAAUACCAUGGUUUGGGUCAGGUGCACCUUAGUCUUCAAAGUGACAUCUUUGCUUUAUAACACUUUAAAGAGGUCUUUUGCAGCAGAUUUACCCAAUACAGUAUGUUGUUUGGUUUCUUGACUGCUGCUCUCAUGGGUGUUGAUUGUGGAUCCAAGUAAAAUGAAAUCCUUGAGAAUUUCAAUCUUUUGUCUGUUUAUCAUGAUGCUGCUUAUUGGUCCAGUUGUGAGGAUUUUUGUUUUCUUUAUGUUGAGGUGUAAUCCAUACUGAAGACUGUGGUCUUUGAUCUUCAUCAGUAAGUGCUUCAAGUCCUCUUCACUUUCAGUAAGCAAGGUUGUGUCAUCUGCAUAUUGCAGGUUGAAUGAGUCUUCCUCCAGUCCUGAUGCUGUGUUCUUCAUAUAGUCCAGUUUCUCAGAUUAUUUGCUCAGCAUACAGAUUGAAUAAGUAUGGUGAACGGAUACAACCUUGAUGGAACUCCUUGCCUGAUUUUAAACCACACGAUAUCCUGUUCUGUCUGGACAACUGCCUCUUCGUCUAUGUACAGGAUCCUCAUGAGCACAGUUCAGUGUUCUGGAAUUCCCAAUUCUUUGCAGUGUUAUCCAUAAUUUGUGAUGAUCCACACAGUGUGCUUUAUAUCUCGUUCUAUUUUUCUUUUUUUUUUUUUAAAUACUACUGUGCUCUGAAGUUGAUCCAUUUUUCUGUGUCCACAGCUAAUCUGUUGUUUCUGACUGCUGCAGAAUACUUCAUAAUAUUCAUCUACUACAUUUUAUCCACUGAUUUGUCUGGUAAUGUAUACUCAUUUUGCUUCUACUUUCUGUACCACAUGUAAUAUACAUUUCUCUUAAAAGAGAAUUCAGUUGGGGUGUAUAUACUUGGGAAAAGAAUUGCUAGAUCGUAGGACUACAUAAUUUUUUAUUAUUUAGGACUACAUAUAUGUAACUUGUCUUAAGCAGUAUUGUUCUCUAGAACGUAGUGUGUAAAGUUUGUUAUAUCUCCACAUCUUCACCAACAGGUAGCACCAUCCAGCAUUUUAAUUUUUGUUUGUUGGAUAUAAAGCAGAGGUCCUCAAAAUGUUGUCCAGAAAACCCCCUGGGAGUCCCUGAGACCCUUUCAGGGUAUACUCAAGAUCAAAAUUAUUUUCAUACUAAUA